rnacentral:rRNA from 1 species
UACGGAGGGGACUAGCGUUGUUCGGAAUUACUGGGCGUAAAGCGCACGUAGGCGGGAAUUUAAGUCAGGAGUGAAAACUACCGGCUCAACCGGUAGCCUGCUCUUGAAACUGGAUUUCUUGAGGGUAUGAGAGGAAAGCGGAAUUCCCAGUGUAGCGGUGAAAUGCGUAGAUAUUGGGAGGAACACCAGUGGCGAAGGCGGCUUUCUGGCAUACAACUGACGCUGAGGCGCGAGAGCGUGGGGAGCAAACGGG